AUAACAGCUUUGUGUGAAAGUAUGUCCUCUAGACGUAGGCGGGCUGGUGAGCAGCUUCUUCCUCACAGAAGGGACUGACAACUUGGGCCUUGGUGGACGCUGCAGGUCCUUAAUGCAGGCAUCAAAGUUGUUUUUUUCUCUCUCAGGGACCUAGACAUGUGGGACUCCAGAUCUGACUUUAUGGCCCAGUCUUCAGCAUGGUGUGGUUUGUCGACUCUUUCUGGAUCAGGGUUUCUGUUAAGAGCCGGCUCCAGUGCUGGUGGCUUCAGAAGGAGCGACCCAGGCCUGAGGAGGUGGCAGUCAAUGUACCAUCUGGAGCCUGAGAGCCCUACAAGGUCCUUUUCGCCAUUAGGAGCAGAAUUAUGGGCUAGUCGUGGUGAAAGGAGCUUCAGACAAGCAGAAAGGGUGCCGUGGCUCCAGGACGCUCAUGAGCGGCUGAACACUAAACUGGACCGGCUGAGGACCAGAGAAUUUACACUAGGCUACAACAAGACGACGGCACAGAUGCUCGACAUGGAGCAAAAGCUGCUAUCUGAAACGAGUGCUCUCAGACAGGAUGCAGGUAAAAUACCCCGGUUUGACCGAAGCCGACAGAGUAGAGAGCUCCAAGAAAAAGUCUUGAAGUCGGAAAAUAAGCUGCUGGACUUGAGGUCUUCUUUGGAGAACGUAAGCGAGGAUCAGUCGACUUGUCUUCGACCUCCAUUCUUACACAGCACAUCCCUCAAGACCGCAGGAGACAUGACUAAAGAGGAGAUCAAGAAUCUAAGGGAGGCCCUGAGAGAAGCCGAGGCCAGGGCCUCAACUCUCCAAGAAGAGCGCAACAAAGCACUCCAGGAUCUUCACACCUCUGCAGAGAUGCAGAAGAUGUUGAUUAAUCAAAUGGAUGAUAUUAAAAAGAGAGUCAGUGUUGGCACACAGGGACACUCGGAGGGACAGAACCAGGAGAGCGAAUCCAACAGCAGCAUCAGCCAAGCUUGUCUGGAAAAUGAAAAACUGCGACAAGAACUAGAAGUGAUCAUGGAACAUCUGGCUACGUCACAACGUCAGCUGCAGGAGCUAAAUGAGGAGAAAAUCCAAAACUCAAGACAGAUCACAGAUCUGGAAGCAGAGCGCUCUCAGCUGCUCAGAGAAAAGAAGGAGCUUCUGGGCACAAGAGACCAAGAUGGAGAUCUUGUAUCAGAUGAGACAAAGGGAAACAACAGCCAGCGCAGUAAAUCUGCAGAAGAGUCGGAAUUAGAAAAUCAGAAACUGCAGAAUCGGUGUCUCUGUUUGGAAGAAAAGCUCAGCGAGAAGGAGAAAAUGCUGCAAAGGCAGGAGGAAACAUAUCAAGAAAAGGAUGAAAUGAGAAUCCUCCACAUUAAAGAGCUAGAAGGGAUUGCCACACACUGGAUGGAAAAAUGGCAAAAUGUUGCUCUGACCCUUCAGUCCAAGCAAGAUGAGUUAGAAGAGCUCAAAGUAAACAACACCAAUGAUAAAAGAGCGUCUGAGCCUGGGUCCAGGUCUGAAGCAUGCAAACAGGAAAAAGGUAAAGAUGCCUUUCUAUUCGUUGAACACAAGGGGGCAUUUAUGUGCAAUUUGCUUCCGUUUGCAGGUAGUGAGUUGAUGCAGACACUUGACAAAGAGACACAGACAGACUUUUCAGAAUCCUGUUUAAUUCAUGAGCCCCCACCACGCUCCCCGAGUAACAAAUCUACUCAGGUGUGGAGGCAAAGCGGCGAGGAACAGAGGCUGAAGCAAAAACUGGCAGAAACAGAGAGGAAAGUGAGUGAGAGAGAGAAUGAUUUGAGGACCAUGGAACGGUUGAGAGAGAUGGAGAGAACCGAGGCUCAAUUCAGGAUUUCUGCUCUGGAGCUCAAGCUGCUGGAAAAGGCUUCUGGAUGUUGUCAUAAUGGCGGAAGUGCUUGGACAGAUGUGUCAAACCCUGCUUCAAUACACGCACAGCAAGAUGAAAAGCAGCAGCCAAAUUCUACAGUGCUCCACGAACAACCAACUCAGAGGCAAACAGUUUCCCCGGGUAAAAAUGAGAAACUAUGUGUUGAAGACAAGAGGAAUAAAACCAUGUGUCCAGUUAAUCCAGAGGUGGAGCAACAGAGAAGAUUGGUCACUGAGCAGUUAAAGAGCUUGUUUAAGGAGCGGGAAGGAAAGGAGGCGGGAAGAUUUGCUGAGACCCAAGAAACCGCUCCAAGUGGAUCCUCCUCACUGCCGGACUGGACCCCCUCAUCUUUAGUUGUGAAGGUAAGAAGGAAAAUACAGAAAAUACAACUCAUCGGGGUAAAAAAAUUUACAAAUCAAAUCCUGUUUUUUCUUUCGUUCAGGCCGCAGCAGACAGGAGAAACUGGCAUCAGGGCUCAGCUUUAAUGCCCGUGUUGGAGGAGGAUGAGGAGAACAGUGACUUGCCCUGAGGUUUACAUCUAAAUUUCAAGUCUUAAAGACAAAGCAGCCCACGCCGCAAAUUGCAGAAAUUGACCGUCUCUGUGGGGAUGAAAGUGACCUGCAGUGGAGGAGCAUGCCUCUUGCAAACCUUUAGCCUGAUGCAAUAUUCCUGGCUGAGACUAUGGGCUAGAUAUGUGCAGUCUCAAUGAAGACGAAUAGGAGGAAAGACUUUAGUUAGGUACC